rnacentral:rRNA from 1 species
UUGAACGCUGGCGGCAUGCCUUACACAUGCAAGUCGAACGGCAGCACGGGGGCAACCCUGGUGGCGAGUGGCGAACGGGUGAGUAAUGUAUCGGAACGUGCCCAGUCGUGGGGGAUAACUAUCCGAAAGGAUAGCUAAUACCGCAUACGUCCUGAGGGAGAAAGCGGGGGAUCGCAAGACCUCGCGCGAUUGGAGCGGCCGAUAUCGGAUUAGCUAGUUGGUGGGGUAAAGGCUCACCAAGGCGACGAUCCGUAGCGGGUCUGAGAGGACGACCCGCCACACUGGAACUGAGACACGGUCCAGACUCCUACGGGAGGCAGCAGUGGGGAAUUUUGGACAAUGGGCGCAAGCCUGAUCCAGCCAUUCCGCGUGAGUGAAGAAGGCCUUCGGGUUGUAAAGCUCUUUCAGCGGGAAUGAAACGGUCGAUCCUAAUACGGUCGGCUAAUGACGGUACCUGCAGAAGAAGCACCGGCUAACUACGU